rnacentral:rRNA from 1 species
AUUGAACGCUAACGGCGUGCUUAACACAUGCAAGUCGAACGGCAGCACAGCAGUAGCAAUACCGUGGGUGGCGAGUGGCGGACGGGUGAGUAAUGCAUAGGAAUCUGCCGUGUAAUGGGGGAUAACCCGGGGAAACUCGGGCUAAUACCGCAUAAGCUUUACGAAGCAAAGUGGGGGACCGUAAGGCCGCACGUUAUCAGAUGAGCCUAUGUUGGAGUAGCUAGUUGGUGGGGUAAAGGCCUACCAAGGCGACGAUCCAUAGCUGGUCUGAGAGGAUGAUCAGCCACACUGGGACUGAGACACGGCCCAGACUCCUACGGGAGGCAGCAGUUGGGAAUAUUGGACAAUGGGGUAAACCCUGAUCCAGCAACGCCGUGUGUGUGAAGAAGGCCUUAGGGUUGUAAAGCACUUUCAGUAGGGAAGAAAAGCUUAAGGGUAAUAUCCUUGAGUAUUGACGUUACCUACAGAAGAAGCACUGGCUAACUCUGUGCCAGCAGCCGCGGUAA